rnacentral:rRNA from 1 species
UACAGAGGGGGCAAGCGUUAUUCGGAAUUAUUGGGCGUAAAGGGCGCGUAGGCGGCUUGGCAAGUGGACGGUGAAAUCCCUCGGCUUAACCGAGGAACUGCCAUCCAGACUGCUUUGCUUGAGGCCGGGAGAGGUGAGUGGAAUUCCCAGUGUAGCGGUGAAAUGCGUAGAUAUUGGGAAGAACACCAGUGGCGAAGGCGACUUACUGGACACAUAUUGACGCUGAGGUGCGAAAGCGUGGGGAGCAAACAGG